UAGUGAGUUUGAUCCUGGCUCAGAUUGAACGCUGGCGGCAUGCUUUACACAUGCAAGUCGAACGGCAGCGCGGGGCAACCUGGCGGCGAGUGGCGAACGGGUGAGUAACACGUGAGCAACCUGCCCCAGACUCUGGGAUAACCCCGGGAAACCGGAGCUAAUACCGGAUAUGACACCAACUCGCAUGGGUAUGGUGUGGAAAGUUUUUCGGUCUGGGAUGGGCUCGCGGCCUAUCAGCUUGUUGGUGAGGUAGUGG
rnacentral:rRNA from 1 species